GAGUUUGAUCAUGGCUCAGAUUGAACGCUGGCGGCAUGCUUUACACAUGCAAGUCGAACGGCAGCACGGGGUUUACCCUGGUGGCGAGUGGCGAACGGGUGAGGAAUACAUCGGAACGUGUCUAUAAGUGGGGGAUAACGCAUCGAAAGAUGUGCUAAUACCGCAUAAUCUCUCAGGAGAAAAGCAGGGGAUCGCAAGACCUUGCGCUUUAGGAGCGGCCGAUGCCUGAUUAGCUUGUUGGUAGGUAAAAGCUUACCAAGGCUUCGAUCAGUAGCUGGUCUGAGAGGACGACCAGCCACACUGGGACUGAGACACGGCCCAGACUCCUACGGGAGGCAGCAGUGGGGAAUUUUGGACAAUGGGGGAAACCCUGAUCCAGCCAUGCCGCGUGAGUGAAGAAGGCC
rnacentral:rRNA from 1 species